UACGUAGGGUGCGAGCGUUGUCCGGAAUUAUUGGGCGUAAAGGGCUCGUAGGCGGUUUGUCGCGUCGGGAGUGAAAACCCAGGGCUUAACCCUGGGCUGGCUUCCGAUACGGGCAGACUAGAGGUAUGCAGGGGAGAACGGAAUUCCUGGUGUAGCGGUGAAAUGCGCAGAUAUCAGGAAGAACACCCGUGGCGAAGGCGGCUCUCUGGGACGGUACUGACGCUGAGACGCGAAAGCGUGGGGAGCGAACAGG
rnacentral:rRNA from 1 species